rnacentral:rRNA from 1 species
AUUGAACGCUGGCGGCAGGCCUAACACAUGCAAGUCGAGCGAGCGGCGGACGGGUGAGUAAUGUCUGGGAAACUGCCUGAUAGAGGGGGAUAACUACUGGAAACGGUAGCUAAUACCGCAUACCAUCGGAUGUGCCCAUAUGGGAUUAGCUGGUAGGUGAGGUAAUGGCUCACCUAGGCGACGAUCCCUAGCUGGUCUGAGAGGAUGAUCAGCCACACGGGAACUGAGACACGGCCCAGACUCCUACGGGAGGCAGCAGUGGGGAAUAUUGCACAAUGGGCGCAAGCCUGAUGCAGCCAUGCCGCGUGUGUGAAGAAGGCCCUCGGGUUGUAAAGCACUUUCAGCGGGGAGGCGUUACCCGCAGAAGAAGCACCGGCUAACUCCGUGCCAGCAGCCGCGGUAAUAC